rnacentral:other from 1 species
GUGAGGAGGAAGCGACUACCUUGUGUAGUCGUGGCUUUUCGAGGGCUCGUGGUAGUGACAUGAGUUACAGGGGAAGUUGGAAAUGGCAACUGGUACGGUCAAAUGGUUUAACGACGCCAAAGGUUUCGGAUUCAUCACGCCUGACGAAGGCGGUGAGGAUCUGUUUGCGCACUUCUCGGCAAUCCAGAUGAAUGGGUUCAAGACCCUGAAGGAAGGCCAGAAGGUGACUUUCGAGGUCGUGCAAGGCCCGAAAGGCAAACAGGCAUCGAACAUUCAGGCUCCGGUCUGAAGCGGCUUCGUUCUUAGGCGGGUUGUUAUCCGUCUUUGGAAAACCCGGCUUUAUGCCGGGUUUUCUUU